UGAACUGGUUUGCUAAAUUUCU
rnacentral:miRNA from 1 species